rnacentral:rRNA from 1 species
UCAGUAACACGUAGUCAACCUACCCUAGAGACGUGGACAAACUCGGGAAACUGAGGCUGAUACGCGAUAGGUCAUAUCAUCUGGAAGGAGAUAUGGUCCAAAGGGGUGGGGCGGGCUUCUUCCGCUUCAUUCGCUCUAGGAUGGGACUGCGGCCGAUCAGGCUGUUCCCCGGGGUAAUGGCCCACCAAACCUGUAACCGGUACGGGCUUUGAGAGAAGGAGCCCGGAGAUGGACACUGAGACAAGGGUCCAGGCCCUACGGGGCGCAUCAGGCGCUGAAAACUUCGCAAUGCGCGAAAGCGUGACGAGGCUAUUCCGAGUGCUCUCCCGCUGAGGAAGACUUUUCUUAGCUGUAAAUAGGCUGGGGCAAUAAGGGGAGGGCAA